UGGUGGAGUGAUUUGUCUGGUUAAUUCCGAUAACGAACGAGACUCUAGCCUGCUAAAUAGUGAGCAUGUAUUCUUUGCAUGUUGCACUUCUUAGAGGGAUUCGCUACUUAUAGUGGCACGAAAUUGAGCAAUAACA
rnacentral:rRNA from 1 species